ACUCAAGACAGAAAAGAGUGAGGCGACGAUGUGGACAAACUAUUGUGAGCUGCUGCACAACAGAUUUCAUCCGAGGCCACAACUAGUGCUAUCAGAAUUCAUUGGCAACAUCCUCAAAAAUGGAUCAUUCAUUUCUGAGCAAAAAAGUUUUUGGGAGAUCGUGCUGCUGAGUGUGAACUAUCUAGCACGGCUCUUACAAGACGUCAUAACGUCCCUUGCGUGUGGGUGUGACUGAGCGAUUCGAGGAAGAUGGCUGCGAAAAGGGAGAGUGAUUGAGAAAUCUAACCAACGUUUGUUUAUGACUGGCAGAAUUCUGCGGUUUACAACUGGCCCGGAAGAUUAAUGAUAUGAAUGAGUGUCAUCUGCUGCCAUUGGUUUAUGUUUACCUUUUUUUCAAGAAAAGGCACCAGUGGACGUGAUUGGAAUUUAUUUGCUAGCUGCCCUUCUCGGGCAGUUUACUCCGUAGAAAUCUCUGCUUGGCAACCCAACAUUUAACGUUGUGAAAUACUGGAAAUAAAGCAGGACGUUGGCAACAGCAAGCGACCACAGCACAGGCAGCAGCAGCAGCAGCAGCAGCAGCAGCAGUGGGAAGCACGUUAUUGAAAGUUCUGGAGGGACCAGAGAUAUGACUCAGAGCCCUUGAGGACGACAUGGAGCUCUAGCUUGCCACACCAAACCUCAGCUCAAGAGUGUAUCUGUCUGAGAAUGGAGUGGUGCAGGUUGCAGGCUGGAUGACCGGGUCUGCAGGGAGCUCUGACCACCCUCACCCCCGCACCAGACCAACUCCCUGUCUGAACGCUGCUCCAUCUCUGUGCUGACGGUGAUCUGGAGAGACGGCCACCCCCCUCCUCCUCCUCCUCCUCCCCCUCUCUCCCCACGGCCACAGCAUUGCGUACUCUAGGGCAAUCGGCCCUCCCCUUCCUCUCCUCUCACCCCCCAGCCUGCAUAUAAGGAC